CGCCUGAAUAUCGACUAUAUCGAUUAAUAAGUAAAAUUACUGGUUAUGGUUUUCUUUAAUGUGGUAAAGGUACGAUAUUUAACGUUGAAAUUAAGAUGUAAUUUUAUAUAAAGUAAGGAGUGCAAUGAAUGUAUGUGAAGAGCAUUGUAUUGGUUAUGGAAUGCCACAUUUGAACAAGAAUUAAGGGAACAGUAAUAUCGCAUUUCACAUAUUAGUAUAAGUUUCUGCGCUCCAUCGGACAUACAUAUUUUAAAGUUUGUAGCUAACAUCUAGAAAAUAUUAGUAAACUAGAAUGCGUUAAGAAAUUCUGUAUCCACUUUUAUUUUACUGGCAGUUAAAUGUUUAGUGAAAACUGCUUUUGUAAAAUAAGCAAUAAGCGACAUCGGUAUGAAUGUAACAAACAAAUUUUUAUCAUCAGAGAAUGGAAUACCACACGACAAAGUGGCAAUUUUGGAUGCAGGUGCACAAUACGGGAAGGUCAUAGAUCGCAAAGUAAGAGAAUUACUUGUGGAAUCGGAAAUUUUACCGUUAGACACAUCAGCUGCUGUCUUAAAAGCUAACGGAUAUAGGGGUAUUAUUAUUUCUGGUGGACCAAACUCUGUGUAUGCUGAAGAUGCGCCCAAUUAUGAUACCGAUAUUUUUAAAAUUAAGAUACCAAUUCUUGGAAUUUGCUAUGGUAUGCAACUUAUAAAUAAGGAAUUCGGUGGUACUGUACACAAGAAAACAGUGCGUGAAGAUGGACAAGAAAAUAUUGAAAUAGAAACGGAGUGUCCUUUGUUCAAUCUGCUUAGUCGAACACAAUCUGUGUUGCUAACACAUGGUGAUAGUGUGGAACGUGUUGGAGACAAAUUAAAAGUGGGUGGUUGGUCAUCAAAUCGCAUUGUGACCGUAAUUUAUAACGAGACCUUGCGAAUAUAUGGCGUACAAUUCCAUCCAGAGGUGGACCUUACAACCAAUGGGAAGCAAAUUUUUUCAAAUUUUUUGUUUGAUAUUUGUGGAGCAACACCUAACUUUACACUUGGGAACCGGAAAGAUGAUUGUAUUAAUUACAUAAAGGAGAAAGUUGGUACUAAUAGAGUUUUGUUGCUGGUUAGCGGUGGAGUUGAUUCGACUGUUUGUGCUGCCUUGUUACGCCACGCAUUACAUCCAAAUCAAAUUAUCGCAGUUCAUAUUGACAACGGAUUCAUGCGCAAAGGAGAAAGUGAAAAGGUUGAAAAAUCUUUAAGGGAAAUCGGCAUUGAUCUGCUAGUGAAAAAGGAAGCUUAUCGAUUUUUAAAAGGCACUACACAGAUUAAAAGACCUGGGCAGUUCUCAAUUGUAGAAACGCCCAUGCUGUUCCAGACUAUUAACCCAGAGGAGAAACGCAAGAUUAUUGGAGAUGUAUUCGUAAAAAUAACCAAUGAUAUUAUAUCUGAAAUGAAGUUGAAGCCUGAUGAAGUGUUACUGGCUCAAGGUACGCUUCGACCAGAUUUGAUUGAAUCUGCAUCAAAUUUAAUUAGCCAAAACGCAGAAACUAUUAAAACUCAUCAUAACGAUACAGAACUAAUAAGGCAAUUGCGAAGUGCUGGUCGUGUCGUUGAGCCUUUAAGCGAUUUUCACAAAGAUGAAGUAAGAGACAUAGGAAGAGAUCUUGGUCUACCAGUCGACUUAGUUGAACGACAACCAUUUCCAGGGCCAGGCCUAGCCAUUCGGAUUCUCUGUGCUGAAGAACCUUAUAUAGAAAAGGACUACUCAGAGACACAGGUUAUCGCAAAAGUUAUAGUAGAUUUUCAUAACAAACUAUUGAAAAACCAUGCAUUAAUAAAUCGCGUAAUUGGCUCUACCACAGAAGCAGAACAAAAGGAACUUAAGCGUAUUUCGUCCAUAGAUAAGGUACAAGCUACAGUUUUACCUUUGCGGUCUGUCGGUGUACAGGGUGAUAAAAGAACUUAUAGCUAUGUGGUGGGUCUUUCUAGUAGUUCAGAACCUAAUUGGACUGAUUUGAUAUUUUUGGCAAAAUUAAUUCCUCGUAUUCUUCAUAAUGUCAACCGUGUUUGCUAUGUGUUUGGAGGUCCCGUGCAAUAUCAAAUUACCGAUAUUACUCAUACUUCUCUUAAUAAAUACGUUUUAGAGCAACUUAGGGAAGCUGACGCUAUAGGAAGCGAAAUAAUAAAUCAGACAGGUCUACAUCGUGUAAUUUCGCAAAUGCCAAUUGUUCUGAUUCCCGUGCAUUUUGACAGAGAUCCCACGAAUCGAACUCCGUCUUGUUGUAGGUCAAUAGUCUUAAGACCAUUUUUAACAAAUGAUUUUAUGACCGGAAUACCAAUAAUACCAGGAUCGCUUCAAUUGCCGACCCAGUGUCUAAGUGGCGCCACAAGAAAGAUAACGGCACAACAAUCACACCGUAACGAUGAGCAUAAUGCUGUUUUUAGAAUAUACAUAACGGGAUUUUUCAAACUUUUGUUGAAAAUACUUGUUUGAACGGUUUUUGGUAUAAAUUUGUUACUGUGCCUAAACUUAAUUGAUUCCCUGUAUCUAAAACAAAUAUUCCUAAAACAAGCCGACUUAUUGUUAAGUAAAUAAUUUGUUCAGCAUAAAAUUCAAAAGUUAAGCAAAGGUUCUCAAUAACAUUGUUCACGAAAUAUCAAAGUUAGACGGCAUAUCCCGAGUUUUAUACGAUUUGACAUCCAAACCACCAGGUACAACCGAAUGGGAGUAAUUCGUGCAUUUAAUUUUGUCCUGAUUUCUAUGAUUGGAUCUCUAAUACAAAUCGUAUGAAAUAUGUGAAAAUGAUAAAAAUAUAUUUACUGAGUUUAGUUUUUAUAGUUAUUAAAUAAAUGGGC